UGUGAGCGACUCACCAGGACAGUUUUAUUUCUGUGCUGAGCUUGCUGCUUCCUGCUGGGAAAAUGUUAGUGGCGGAGUCACACCCAGGUUCCCUGUGUCAUUGCAGGAGGCUGUACUGAUGCUCAUGUUUUGUUUCACAAGCUAAGUCCUUGACAGCAUCAGCUGGGAUCCCAGUCUUCUCUCUCAUGUUACCCAGUGAGAACUCACUCACAUAAAUGUCAGGGGAGAAUACUUGGCCUUCUGUUUCCUGGAUCACUGAAUAAAAUCCCCUAUGAUGAUCUGUGUGCGUAUUUGGCUUUGCUGUUUGGUUCCAGGAGUUUUAUUUCAAGGCAAAGCUUGUAUCUGAAGAUGCCAUGAGCUGAGAUUGUCUAGGACUGAGAAGCCCUAACUUCCCAAGGACACUAGUCCUGGAAAGAAGAAAGAGGCGGCAUUCUUCCUGAAUGUGAAAUGCACUCAGAAGGAACUGCUUGGUAUUUAAAAACUACUUCUCAUUCUAUCUUUAAAGCCAAAGAGAAAACACCGAGUUUACUAAUUGUUUAACUGCAAAGCUUGACUCUGGAAAUAAAAAAAGAAUGAGAGCAGAAGUGGAGACUUCAUAAAGAAAGUGAAUGGGGAUCAAAAAGGAUCCAGCUCCAGCUCCUGGAAGCUUACCCCACCCCACCAAAGAGAACCUGGAUGGAACCCUCUUUCAUCAGGAAUAAACUGGAGCCCAAGGAAAUGAAGGAAUCAGAUGGGGACCAAGUGACCUGUCCACACAAAAGCCAUCUGAUGAGUGCUUCUACUCCCUGCUCGCAGCCCACCUUCAGCUACACAGAUCUGCACGGCCCCUUGCUUCUGCCAUAUGGGAUCCAGCCUGACAGCAGCGAAUGAGUGCACAGAUUUCAAGUAGAGGAAAUCCCCAGGAAAUGGCAAGGGACAGUAUUAGGAAUCGACAAAGAAACAAAGUACAUUUGCUUUUGAAAAGCCAAGCCAUACGGACGACAAACAAUAUGAUGAAAGGUCACUCAGAACCCCACCCUAGAAGAAAGCCAGAAGUCCUGGUUCGGCCCAAGAGGUGGGAUGAAGAGUUUCACUAGAUCGUCUCCCUUUUGGCUGAUGUCACAGCAAAUAUUCAUCAGCCAUCAGCCAGACUGGAUAGCAGGCCAAAAACGUGGCCGUCUGGUCUCACGUUGGAAGUUCUGUUUUAAACUUUGUGACCUUGAUUC
rnacentral:lncRNA from 1 species